ACCUGACUGGCCCAGUCGGUAGAGCAUGCGACUCUUGAUGUCAGGGUCGUGAGUUCGAGCCCCACGUUGGGUG
rfam:Felis catus isolate Cinnamon breed Abyssinian chromosome X, whole genome shotgun sequence.